UCUUCACAGAGCCUGGUACAUGCCUAGAAGUUUUAUUUUUACCCACUUAUCGGACAGUGUUCCAGGUACACAUUUCUCCUGUAGAGGCUGCCAGUCACCCUAUUUAUUGCAGCAACUUCUUCCUACCUAGAAGAAAGCUUUCCUACAAGAUUGGUGAGACCUCUCGGCUUUGCUGCUGGAGAGUUCUAAGACUGAAGUUGCUGAAGAACUGGAGCUGUUUCCUACGUCCUCCAAAUCCCUAACACUCCAGGGCUCACCACCUGUUGAUGGUCCAUGGAAGCAGAAUGAGACAACCAAGAUGGCAGGCUGUUCUUGAUUCCUACAAGCCCCAACCCACACCUGAAACAAGAAGGGCCAAGCACAUA